CUGAUUGGUCGAGACGAAGGCUAAUUUAAUAUGGCGAAUUUAACGUUCAUUUGAGUGUAUUUUUUCAUCAGUUUAUUGAUAAUUGUUUUAAAUUCUGUUUAACGUGAUAAAUACAAAAGAUGGUGAUUAUGCAAGAUCAAUGAAAAUCAGAUAGAAAAUAUAGCUAACAUCGCGUAGAAAAGAUAUAUGGAGAUUCACUAGGAAGGCAAAUAGAAGACACAUUGCCAGCGAAUAUACAAUGUUACUAAGAUAUUUUAAAAAUAAUAUUGUAAAAGACA